rnacentral:rRNA from 1 species
AUGAGAGCAAAUGUGCUAACUGAAGCACAUGUAUGCAAUACCAAUCUGUAUUUGUAUAUGACAAGCAUUGACAUGAAACAGGCACCUAACAAAACACAGAUUACUAUUAUUGCUCCUCUAUUACCUUUUGGGCUGCUCAAAUGUAGUUGGUUUUCACUGAUCUCAAUUUCAACUGCGAAGAUGCAAGUAGUGUGCAUUGUGCACUGUAUCCACUUAACACCUGCAACGAAUCAAUCGAUUGAUCAUAGAACUGUAUGGGCCAAAAGGUACCUCAGUAAACAAGUAGAAAUUUUCUUCAACCGGCUUCUCCUCGAAGUUCUCCACCUUUUUCCUUGGGUACGACUCCAUGUCUUGAAAAAAACAGCAGAAUCGACACAAUAA